rnacentral:misc_RNA from 1 species
UCAUUAAAACUAUUCCGUUCUUUUUAAAGAAACAAAAAAUCCUCGAUGAAUCUAAUAAAACUACUCGUUCUUUACCUUCGACAACUUUCGAAGAGCUGCUGUAUCGACUGGAAGAAUAUCUUCGAGACAUGUCUGCACCUUCUUCCUCAACUUUAGCUUUCUCCGGAUUUCCUGGAUUGUCUUUCUUCUUUUCGUCGGGAUUUGGUCCCGGAUUUGCUUUCUCUGGUCCUGGGUUUGCUUCCGCCUUCUUUGGUCCUGGAUUAGCUUCUGAAGGUUUUGGUCCUGGAUUAGCCUCUGAAGGGUUUGGUCCUGGGUUUGCUGUUGCCUUUUGAGGACUACCUGGGUUUGCUUUAAUUUCCUCCUUGAUUUCUGGCACUUCCGUCAGUUGUAAGUCAUCUGCAGCGUGUUCAGCGAGUGCCACCACGUCACUCGCGUACUGUCGAAUUUCUUUCAGCCAGUAGGCCUUCACUAGAUCCUUAUGGGCUACUAACGUAAUGGGGUAGGCCGAGCUCGCUGGAUUGUGUAGUUCGAAAGACCGUAUAUCACCUGGAUGGUCCUUCAACUCUACUUCCGGUAGCUGAGAUUGACAUUAGAUGAUAGAAGUAGAUAAAUAGAAUAAUGGAUGAUUCUUUAUCAUAAUUAGUCUUAUCGUUAAUUACCCUAGCCGCGGUAUAAUUUCUUUAUAGAGACCAUAAUGAUUACAAUAACUUCUUUACUCUAGGGAUUUUACUCUAUUUUUUUUACAUGUUAUUUAUUUUCCAUCAAAAAUAAUUCUAUUAUAUAUAUUUAUACUUACAAGUUAUGAUUUAUCUUUAAUAACUUGUAAUUUCAUAAUCAUUGAAGUUUCUGAUUAAGGAAGAUUAUUAAGUGUGAAUACUCACUCGAAUAAUAUCUUUGAGGACGAAAACCGAUCUGUCUUCCGAUAUUCGUCUGACUUUGCAGACGAGUAUGCGAGCCUUAAAGAGGAACAGAUACCUUUCCUUGCUCUUACCGUCCUUGUCAAUCACAGUGUACCACUCCUGUCAAUUGCACAUCACAUGUUAUAGCAAUUUAUCAAAGUAUAUACUCUAAUAUGAUCACGAUCAAUAAGAGUCCACUUGAAAUAUACUGACGUGUGUGAGUAAUCGGCCAAGUUUGUGAAUAUUUCCUUUAUACCCCUCGAUAUUGCUUAUGAACUUAUUGUCUGUCGCCCUAUGAGGGAUACCUAGCAUCAACUCCAAGGCCUUUUGGAGGUCGUCGCAAUUUUCGCCUAGUCGGGUCGAAUACUUCACCAGCUCCUGCAAACAUCAUUUAAAUGGUA